GAUGAACGCUGGCGGCGUGCCUAAUACAUGCAAGUCGAGCGAACGGAUGAGAAGCUUGCUUCUCUGAUGUUAGCGGCGGACGGGUGAGUAACACGUGGAUAACCUACCUAUAAGACUGGGAUAACUUCGGGAAACCGGAGCUAAUACCGGAUAAUAUUUUGAACCGCAUGGUUCAAAAGUGAAAGACGGUCUUGCUGUCACUUGUAGAUGGAUCCGCGCUGCAUUAGCUAGUUGGUAAGGUAACGGCUUACCAAGGCAACGAUGCAUAGCCGACCUGAGAGGGUGAUCGGCCACACUGGAACUGAGACACGGUCCAGACUCCUACGGGAGGCAGCAGUAGGGAAUCUUCCGCAAUGGGCGAAAGCCUGACGGAGCAACGCCGCGUGAGUGAUGAAGGUCUUCGGAUCGUAAAACGCUGUUAUUAGGGAAGAACAUAUGUGUAAGUAACUGUGCACAUCUUGACGGUACCUAAGCAGAAAGCCACGGCUAACUACGU
rnacentral:rRNA from 1 species